rnacentral:tRNA from 1 species
GGAGGGGUACCCAAGCGGUCAACGGGGGCAGACUGUAAAUCUGCUGGCACAGCCUUCGGAGGUUCGAAUCCUCCCCCCUCCACCA